GUUCCAGCCGCCGCGGUAAUACGGAGGGUGCAAGCGUUAUCCGGAUUCACUGGGUUUAAAGGGAGCGCAGGCGGACUGGUAAGUCAGUGGUGAAAGCCCUGGGCUCAACCCGGGAACUGCCAUUGAUACUAUCAGUCUUGAAUAUCGUUGAGGUUUGCGGAAUGGGUCAUGUAGCGGUGAAAUGCAUAGAUAUGACCCGGAACACCUAUUGCGAAGGCAGCAGGCUAAGCGAAGAUUGACGCUGAGGCUCGAAAGCGUGGGGAUCAAACAGGAUUAGAUACCCCAGUAGUCC
rnacentral:rRNA from 1 species